UUUAAUGGAGAGUUUGAUCCUGGCUCAGGACGAACGCUGGCGGCGUGCCUAAUACAUGCAAGUCGAGCGGAGUCUUACACUUUCUUCGGAAAGUGUUUGGCUUAGCGGCGGACGGGUGAGUAACACGUAGGUAACCUGCCCAUAAGACUGGGAUAACCCACGGAAACGUGAGCUAAUACCAGAUAGGCAUCUUCUUCGCAUGAAGGAGAUGAGAAAGACGGUUUCGGCUGUCACUUAUGGAUGGACCUGCGGCGCAUUAGCUAGUUGGUGAGGUAACGGCUCACCAAGGCGACGAUGCGUAGCCGACCUGAGAGGGUGAUCGGCCACACUGGGACUGAGACACGGCCCAGACUCCUACGG
rnacentral:rRNA from 1 species